rnacentral:tRNA from 1 species
ACCUGGGUGGCUCAGUGAGUUAAGCAUCUGACUUCAGCUCAGGUCAUGACCUCACAGAUCGUGGGUUUAAGCCCCACAUCGGGUU